rnacentral:misc_RNA from 1 species
GUAGGUGAACCUGCGGAAGGAUCAUUAACACGUAUCCACGUUAUUCACCCGCGAACUGUAAAACACUUGAGGAGGGUAGCUUCUCUUCAAGUUUCUCUUGUUCUGUGUCGGCUAGGGAUCCUUGGACCAGUCCCAGACCUCUUCGGAGGGCAGGAACUGGCUCCAUUGGAUGUACGAUGCCUUCAGGAAUAGGAUGCAGUGCUAAUGUUUGGAGUAGGGAACCAGGAACCUUCGGGGGAAUGGGGAUCUACACUGAGCAUGGCGCAUUUCUAAACCGGAAAAGUGUGAGAUUCGUGAAGUAUCUUCGGAGAAAACGAUGACGGCUCUUUUUCCUUCUCUGUUUAUUUUUGUCUGACAAAAAUAAAAGUUGUUCACUUAUGUGGGCAAUUUUUAACCGAAUGCCGUACAACUCUUAGCAACGGAUAUCUUGGUUCUG